AAAAAUAAAAAUUUCCACGGGCA
rnacentral:tRNA from 2 species